UAUAAAGSCCCUCCCCUUUCUUCGUCACGUCCUCUUUCAAUUUGGUGUCUUCGCUGUAGAGACACAUCUCCACAAGAUGAGAGCAAAGUGGAGGAAGAAGCGUAUGCGCAGGCUGAAGCGUAAAAGGCGAAAGAUGAGGCAGAGGUCCAAGUAGACUGGCCCAUUCCCCUACUGCUGUGAUUCUUUUUCUCCACCCACUCAAGCCCUCCGUUUGAAGCCAGCGGUCCACGAUUUGCAAAGAGCUGAACCAUGGUCGUCUGAAGCCGGUCUCAUUGGUGUGAAGGACAGAUCCUGCCUACCCAGCCCUCUGCCAAUGGCGACUGGCCGUUGACUACUGCUAGAAUCUCUCCUGUCGUUGAACUCUGGCCUUUUACCACCUGCACAGCUGAUUUGUUGUCAAGACCAUAAUAAAUAUUUGGUUUACUAACUACA